AGACUCUGGUUUCUCUUCAGAUCGUAUAAAUCUUUUGCCUUUUACUGAAGAUUUCUGUGGAGAGGAAUAACUUGAGUCUUUAACCAGUUUUUUUUUUUUUUUUUGACAGGCAGA